AGAAGAAGAAGGAAUGUUCACAACUUAGAUUCCGUCUGGGAGUUCAGGUUGGCGGCCACUCCAUAGGUUUGACGACACAGACGAGAAGGUUCCUGCUGAUUCUACCCGAUACUCCAUAAAGGGAGCCGCAGCCUGAGAUUCCUGUGAGAACCGCAGAAAAA